AUUGAACGCUGGCGGCAGGCUUAACACAUGCAAGUCGAACGAGUGGCGGACGGGUGAGUAAUGCUUGGGAAUCUAGCUUAUGGAGGGGGAUAACUACGGGAAACUGUAGCUAAUACCGCGUACCAUAGGAUGAGCCCAAGUGGGAUUAGGUAGUUGGUGAUGUAAAGGCUCACCAGGCCGACGAGCCCCAGCUGGUGUGAGAGGAUGAUCAGCCACACUGGUGCUGAGACACGGCCCAGCCUCCGACGGGAGACAGCAGUGGGGAAUAUUGCGCAACGGGGACAACCCUGACGCAGCCAUGCCGCGUGUAUGAAGAAGGCCUUCGGGUUGUAAGGUACUUUCAGUCGGUAGGCGUUACCGACAGAAGAAGCGCCGGCUAACUCCGUGCCAGCUGCCGCGGUAAUAC
rnacentral:rRNA from 1 species